rnacentral:rRNA from 1 species
UGAGGAAUAUUGGUCAAUGGGCGCAAGCCUGAACCAGCCAUCCCGCGUGCAGGAAGACGGCCCUAUGGGUUGUAAACUGCUUUUCCAGGGGGUGAAUUAAUCCGACGUGUCGGGUUUUGACGGUACCCUGGGAAUAAGCAUCGGCUAACUCCGUGCCAGCAGCCGCGGUAAUACGGAGGAUGCGAGCGUUAUCCGGAUUUAUUGGGUUUAAAGGGUGCGUAGGCGGACAAAUAAGUCAGUGGUGAAAACCUGCAGCUUAACUGUAGACUUGCCGUUGAUACUGUUAGUCUUGAGUAUGGUCAAGGUAGGCGGAAUGUGUAAUGUAGCGGUGAAAUGCUUAGAUAUUACACAGAACACCGAUUGCGAAGGCAGCUUGCUGGGCCGUUACUGACGCUGAUGCACGAAAGCGUGGGGAUCGAACAGGAUUAGAUACCCUGGUAGUCCACGCCGUAAACGAUGAUCACUCGCUGUUGGCGAUACACAGUCAGCGGCUAAGCAAAAGCAUUAAGUGAUCCACCUGGGGAGUACGGCCGCAAGGCUG